rnacentral:lncRNA from 1 species
AUUGGUUGGUUGGUUGGUUGGUUGGUUGGUUGGUUAAACACGUUGGUUAAACCCGUUGGUUAAACACAUUGGAUAGGCUCAAAAUUGGAUCCCGUAUUUAACACAUGAAACGGAAACAUGCAUUGAUUGGUUGGUUGGUUGGUUGGUUAAACACGUUGGUUAAACAUGUUGGUUAAACAUAUUGGUUAAACACCUUGGUUAAACAUAUUGGUUAAACACGUUGGCUGGUUAAACACGUUGGAGAGGCUCAAUUUAAACAAGCGAAAAAAAACCCAUCUUGGAUCCCGUAUUUAACACAUGAAACGGAAACAUGCAUUGAUUGAUUGAUUGAUUGGUUGG